rnacentral:rRNA from 1 species
GAUGAACGCUGGCGGCGUGCCUAAUACAUGCGAGUCAAGCGAACAGACGAGGAGCUUGCUCCUCUGACGUUAGCGGCGGACGGGUGAGUAACACGUGGAUAACCUACCUAUAAGACUGGGAUAACUUCGGGAAACCGGAGCUAAUACCGGAUAAUAUAUUGAACCGCAUGGUUCAAUAUUGAAAGACGGUUUUGCUGUCACUUAUAGAUGGAUUCGCGACGCAUUAGCUAGUUGGUAAGGUAACGGCUUACCAAGGCAACGAUGCGUAGCCGACCUGAGAGGGUGAUAGGCCACACUGGAACUGAGACAAGGUCCAGACUACUACGAGAGGCAGCAGUAGGGAAUCUUCCGCAAUGGGCGAAGGCCUGACGGAGCAAAGCCGCGUGAGUGAUGAAGGUCUUCGAAUCGUAAAACUCUGUUAUUAGGGAAGAACAAAUGUGUAAGUCACUAUGCACGUCUUGACGGUACCUAAGCAGAAAGCCACGGCUAACUACGUG